CCUACGGGCGGCAGCAGUGGGGAAUAUUGGGCAAUGGGCGCAAGCCUGAUCCAGCAACGCCGCGUGAAGGAAGAAGGCUUUCGGGUUGUAAACUUCUUUUCUGAGGGACGAAGAAAGUGACGGUACCUCAGGAAUAAGCCACGGCUAACUACGUGACAGCAGCCGCGGUAAUUCGUAGGGGGCCAGCGGUAUCCGGAUUGAUUGGGUGGAAAGGGCGUGUAGGCGGGACAGCAAGUCAGAGGUGAAAACUCAGGGCUCAACCCUGGGCCUGCAUUUGAAACUGUUUUUCGUGAGUGCUGGAGAGGCAAGCGGAAUUCCGGGUGUAGCGGUGAAAUGCGUAGAUAUACGGAGGAACACCAGUGGCGAAGGCGGAUUGCUGGACAGUAACUGACGCUGAGGCGCGAAAGCGUGGGGAGCAAACAGGAUUAGAUACCCGGGUAGUC
rnacentral:rRNA from 1 species